rnacentral:rRNA from 1 species
UACGUAGGGCGCGAGCGUUGUCCGGAAUUAUUGGGCGUAAAGAGCUCGUAGGCGGCCGGUUGCGUCUGCUGUGAAAUCCCGGGGCUUAACCCCGGGCGUGCAGUGGAUAUGGGCCGGCUGGAGGCAGGCAGGGGAGAAUGGAAUUCCCGGUGUAGCGGUGAAAUGCGCAGAUAUCGGGAGGAACACCGGUGGCGAAGGCGGUUCUCUGGGCCUGUACUGACGCUGAGGAGCGAAAGCGUGGGGAGCGAACAGG